AAUGUUUGAGCUCUGUUGGAGGAAGCCGAAACGUGAAGGAACCCUGCGCAGAAUCUCAACGUUGCAAAGUCUCACACUCAGGGCAGGAUAGCUAAUCUUCUUACUAAUCACAAGGCUGGACUGUUGGAACAGAACAAAGUUCACACUGACAACAGAGGGAGAGUGGCGGGGAGUCAAGAACAGCGGCAGAUUUGAUCAAAUAGCAAAAGCAGAGGAAAAGGUUAGGCCUCAGGGCAAGAAUGUCUUUUUAGUUGUUGUUGUUUUUUUUUUUUGUGCAAAAUAAAUAAAUAAAUUGCUGUCACACUCUGGUAGAGGUUGGACCUGGCGACAUGUACUAUAUCCACACACUGAAGGAUCCUGAAAACUAACAAGCAUGGAGGUGCUGAGUGGCCCCUGGGCUGAUCUGGCCCUUUUCCUGCAACAGGCUGCCACACACAGAGACACGGACAGCUUUCUUCCUCUCUGGCUGUUCGGAUUGUUGCUGUUCCUGUCAGUCUGUCUGCUGCUGCUGCAACUAAUCGUCUACUUCAGCUGGAAACUCAGACAGGCUGAGGGGGAUCUGUCCAAGUUUGAGCAGGACCGAAGUUCCAUACACAGGCAGAGGAACAAAAGUGCCAGUCAGAGGAGAAGUUUUGUAUCACAUUCCUAUUCCUGACAGGAAUCUCUCAACAGUGACGGACAAAUUUGACUUAUGUACAUAUAAUAUCUGAACACUACUCAGUGUGGAAAUUGUGGAUACAUCUCCAAAUGUGUACUAACUCUUUUGCAGCGUUUUUUAAAAAAUUGGAUACUGUAAUGUUCAUAUUAUGUAUGAUACUGAUCUUCUACACAGUUCUCAGCUUAUGUACGACAGUUUGCAUUAUUUAGGUUUUAAUAUAAAUAAAAUAAGUGCCUGGGGAAAAAAAAAAAAAAAAGACGACUGGAAGUGUUUCAGAGUAUAACAAUUGUUUAUUUGAACAGUGUUACACAGGGGCGAGGAGUGGCUGCGUGUGAGGAGACAACACGAUUAUGCAGCUAGACUAAACAACCUACCAGUGAUGUGUUGGUAGCAGGAAGCAAAGAGGUGGCUAGUUAAUUUCUUCAAAAUGUUCGUCUUCAUAAACGUGUUAAGAUUUAUUUCUUGUUAGAUGAGAUACAAAAAAAAUGUGCCGUUAUUGUGGGGAAUAAAGCCUGAGAAUACAAUUUCUCCAAUAACAAUCUGAUUAUAAAGACAUUUCAGUUAAAAUCCAUGACAAAUUUAAAAUCAGCUGGUAGUAAUGAUCACCAGCUUCGUAAUCUGAAUAAAAGAUUAAAAUUCAAAUCUUUUUUUUUUGUUAUUAAAGCCACAAACAUUUUUGGAAAAGUCAACCUCGCCUCCCCCUAAACCUCCUGCGGUGGGUUCAAAGAGAAAAGCCCCGAACCAGAAGCAGAGAAAAGGUGGCAAAACAAGUUGAUCUGUAGUGGUUGUUCUUCACCAACAAAAUACACAGCGACAAUAUUACAAAUAAGCAGGAAGGUGGAGCGACAGACCCCACCCUCCCAACUACUAGACCAGUUUCACAGAGAAAAGACGAACCAUGAGAAGACUCUAUAGAUUCAGCUGAUGUGGCAUUACAGAUUUAUUUAAUGAGAUUUUCCUAUGUG